ACUUGAUGAUGUGGACAUUUACGCAGAAAGUCCCUAAAAUGCUCCCAAGUCUCGAAGAAUUGCUCAUCCUUCAUCUAGGAAAAACUAGUGAUAACCUUCCUAAGCU